CAACACAACCGCACGAGAGAGAGGAAGACCUACCCACUCUCUCUGCCGCCGCCGCCGCUGUCACUACAACUCCACACCACCAUCAGUGAGCUCCCGACCAGCCGGCGACCAUGGCGGAGGCCUCACCGCCUCCUCUCCACCGCGGCCUCCCCAACGAGAUCGCCAUCUGGGAGAUCCUCGUCCGCCUGCCCCCCAAACCCCUCCUCCGCUGCCGCGCCGUCUGCCGCAUCUGGCUUUGCGCCACCUCCACCCGCGAAUUUCUCCUCGCCCACCACGCCCGACAGCCCUCCCUCCCCCUCCUCUACAGCUACAACUACAAUUGCAGCGGCGGCCUCGAGUCCCUAGACAUCAUCCCCUUCGACCACCGGGUGCGGGUAGGGGUCGCCGCCGCCGACCGUCUCCAGUCCGUCGCGCGAAUUGGUGACCCUUCCGCCCGCCCAUACAUAUCCUGCGAUGGCUUCCUCGUCCUCUUAAUCGGCCAAGAACACUUAUGCAACCCGUCAAUGUGCUCGCCUCCCAAGUCUUACCACCGGCACCCACCAACCCGCCGGAAUGUACCCGCACGGCCCAACCGGCGAGUACAGGAUACUGCUGGCUCCUGAUGAUCCAGAUGACUCCUACCAGGUCUACACACUAGGCCCCAGCGAGCCGCCCAGGCACAUAGACAUAGAGGGCCCCAAUGUGGAGGACUUGUCACCCAGUACACAUCUCAUGUUCCGUGGUAGCCUGCAUUGGUGCAUAGGCAGCAUUAUACAUGUAUUCAACACCACAACUGAGUCCUUCUGGCAGAUGCUCGCUCCAGAUGUUCCUCACAGUGUUGACCGGUAUGUGAUGGAUAUACUUUAUGGCGCUGUCCUGUUUGAGAUGGAUGGAAUGCUUAGCAUGCCCAUUCUUACUGAUGAAUUUACCAGCAUUGGUAUCUGGGCUAUGCAAGACUAUGAACAUGAGGUCUGGACCUCAAAAUACCGGGUCAAAUUGCCACUUGCGGACCUCACCGUGCAGUUUGGAAAGUUUAACCCAUUUCUUCAUGGGGUGCCCGCUUUUUGGGACGGUGACGUGAUCAUCCUGGUCCAGUUUGGUGAGUGGCUACUUCAAUUUGACAUGGAUGGCAAGUUGGUUGCUAAUUUGCGCCAUUGCAGAGGCCUCUUUCCAACUCGACAUCAACUCAAGCAAACUCUUGUUCAGCAUACCUUCUUUCCGACACUAGAGGGUUAUGUUGUCAAUGCUUCACCUUUCAUCUGACCAAAAGAUUAUGCUGUGAAGACUUAGCCUUUCAUCGGAGGCCGCUGUUCACUGUGUGGUGCUUCUUAUCAGCUUAGCUCUGCUUAUCCCUAUGAGCUCUACACAGUGCAGGUAGUUACAAGAAGGAAAGAAGAUGACUCGAGUCUGUGUUUGUGAGUGAGUUCAUCUAUUGCUGCGGUCGUCGACAUUUUGUUCGUGGAGAUGUGUGUGCCAGCCUAAGUGCCUAACUGGUUGCCAGAAUCCUAGGCACGUCUAUGCUCAAAAUAAGAAGAGACGACAAAACACUUGAAAAGCUCGGGCUGGCGCGUUGCGACAAAACACAAUAAGAAGAGAGUUACCCUGGGAUGCAAGAUACGAGGGGGGAUGGGUCUGAAGACGCUCACCAUGCUACUGUGUGCUGCACUAGCUACCAAGGCAGUGGCGUUACGAGCUGAGCUGCGGCAAGUUCUGAAGAGGCACCCAGAAAUUCACGCUCUGACUGGUUGUGAGUCCUGUAUGGAGGAUAUCUGCUGAUGCUGUGGGUGCUUGAUGAAUGGUGUCUCGGUUGGGGCCUCGGUUGCCUCUGUCCAGAAUGGCAGGGAGGAGAACUGGAGAAUGGUGUCGGCAAGUUCUGAAGAUCGCAUCAAAGGUAAUUGUACCAUUGGGGCCUCGGUUGCCUCUCUCCAGAAUUAUUUUGUCUGUACCAAACCUGAUUACCAUGCGUGCGAUGAUAAGAAAGGCAAGCUGUACAUGUGUGCUGAAGCAAGGCGACGCAAGAUGCAUCCCAGACGGUGGAGACGUGGUGAGUGAUCAGUGGUGGAUCAGACUCAAUAUUGAGGGCUCCUUUGUUGAACAGACUGGCAAAGGACGUACAGGUAUAUUAUGCGUAUAACAUCAACAGUUCGGAAUCGGCGGACAGAGUACCAUGAAGCUAAAACGAGUUGGAGUUCUAGGGGGUGCAAAAAACUUCCUGAUGUUGGAUGGACACAGACUGAUUCCAGCUGAAUAUGUGAAGACAUGUUCUGAUGGGGCUGGUGCUGGGGCUGUAUUGCAAAGAGGGGAUGACGGCGCUGUUAUGUUUUUGCUGUUGCUGAUUUUUGUUGGUUGGUCACAGCGCGUUGGUAAGGCUUCGCAUGACGAGGCUCUGCCACUAAUCAACAGCCUUAGUUCAGUUUUUCUUUUUUUAGAAGAAGCCUUAGUUCAGCUGAACGAUUGUCCUCUCUGUUUAUAGUUUACAACGGCCCAUUGUGGACAUGGGCUCGCGCCCGUCCCGGUUUAUAGUUUACAGCGGCCCAUUGUGGAAAUUGGAUAUCUAUCCUUCGUUACGUUUUUUCUUUUCAAGUACAAUUUGCUACUCCCUAUGGGUCACAGAGAUAGU